rnacentral:tRNA from 1 species
GGGUCGUUAGCUCAGUUGGUAGAGCAGUUGACUCUUAAUCAAUUGGUCGCAGGUUCGACCCCUGCACGACCCACCA